rnacentral:rRNA from 1 species
UACGUAGGGACCGAGCGUUGUCCGGAAUCAUUGGGCGUAAAGAGCGUGUAGGCGGCCACUUAAGUCCUGCGUGAAAUCUUGCGGCUCAACCGCAAGCGGUCGUGGGAAACUGGGUGGCUAGAGUGCGGGAGAGGAGAGUGGAAUUCCUGGUGUAGCGGUGGAAUGCGCAGAUAUCAGGAGGAACACCGGUGGUGUAGACGGCUCGUCUGGACCGUAACUGACGCUGAGACACGAAAAGCGUGGGUAGCAAACAGG